GUCCUAGCCUUAAACGAUGCAUACUAGAUGUAGGCGGGCUCAACCCUGUCUGUAUCGGAGCUAACGCAUUAAGUAUGCCGCCUGGGGAGUACGCUCGCAAGGGUGAAACUCAAAAGAAUUGACGGGGGCCCCGCACAAGCAGUGUAGCAUGUGGUUUAAUUCGAUGCAACGCGAAGAACCUUACCUGGGCUCGAAAUGUAGAGGACGAUUACAGAGAUGUAAUUUCCCGAAAGGGUCUCUAUAUAGGUGCUGCAUGGCUGUCGU
rnacentral:rRNA from 1 species